rnacentral:rRNA from 1 species
UACAGAGGUCUCAAGCGUUGUUCGGAUUCAUUGGGCGUAAAGGGCGCGUAGGCGGCGGGGUAAGGUCUGGUGUGAAAUCUCGGAGCUCAACUCCGAAAUUGCCACUGGAUACUGCUCUGCUUGAGGGUUGGAGAGGAGAUCGGAAUUCACGGUGUAGCAGUGAAAUGCGUAGAUAUCGUGAAGGAAGACCAGUGGCGAAGGCGGGAUCGUC